rnacentral:rRNA from 1 species
AUGGCUGUCGUCAGCUCGUGCCGUGAGGUGUUAGGUUAAGUCCUGCAACGAGCGCAACCCUCGUCGCUAGUUAAAUUUUCUAGCGAUACUGCCCGUAAAACGAGGAGGAAGGUGGGAUGACGUCAAGUCAGCAUGGCCCUUACGCCUUGGGCUACACACACGCUACAAUGGGUGAUACAACAGGUUGCGAAAGAGCGAUCUGGAGCUAAUCCCUAAAAAUCAUCCUCAGUUCGGAUUGCAGGCUGCAACUCGCCUGCAUGAAGCCGGAAUCGCUAGUAAUCGCGGAUCAGAAUGCCGCGGUGAAUACGUUCCCGGGCCUU